CCCACUGUGUACUGGACGAAGGACACGCGAUCUUUUGUCUUGUGGAGUUUUAUAUAACACAGUAAGGUAAGUUAUUAAGAUACUUUUCUUUUAAAUCCACGUAGAUUGCACUUAUUGUUCUACAGCGCGAUACCUAGUUGGUUUUCGUUUUUGUUUGUUAUUCUUUUCUGUGAUGUAUUUUCGUGUAAGUGCAAGUAUUUUAUCAUCAGUCGCCAUUUAACGUAGAUAACGUUAAACAUGCAUGUUUUUACAGUAAGAGACGCAACAUGCAUGACGGGGAUGAUAAAAUAAUCAAUAAGAAGUUUGAAUCUUUAAAUGAAUGCUGAACCCCAAAGAAGCCAAACGAAGAUUAGAUGUUUUCUGUACUAAACCACAAAUCAGCAUUUGCUGAAGUCAUGUACCACACUUUGUCAACAAUAAAUGUUGUUUCUGCAAUCUGGAUAAAGAAUAAUAUAUUACUGCCUCUUGGAGAACAGCCGGCCGUACUCCAGACAGAGACAAAGACAUGAGGACAUCCAUUGCUUUUAAGUCCUAUACCAGACUAUGUUGUUCCAGCUGUCUGGGUAAAGACUGAUACAUUACUGCCUCUUGGAGAACAGCAAACCAUUCUCCAGACAGAGACAAAGACAUGGACAUCAAAACAGAAAAUUAAGUACUUGAUCUUGGAUUGUUUGGAGUGAACGCUGGAAAAUAAUGAAGCAGGAAAUUGACUAAAACUAUUUUUGUACUUGGCUGUAAGAAGUCCUUUGUGUGCACAGACAUGACUGGAGAUUAAAGUUACUAAAUGUUGCUUUUUUUCUAGCUGGUGACAUAACAUGGUAUUAUUUUCAAAUGUAUUUAUCUAAUACACAUUUGCACAUCUGUAAACAUUCAUUUUAUAUAGGAUGUUUUUUAUAUUUAACCAGUUGUUGUAUAUUGCUUUCUGUUAUUACAUCUGUUUUUUUUUUGCCUGUUUAUUGUUUAAAACAAUUAAGUUAAUG